UGUGAUAUUUCCCACUGGGCGUGAAGCGGGCACAGAGAAGUGAUUCAGUUCACAAGCAUUCUGCCAUUGAUGACCGUUUUUUACUUCCUAGUGGAGUAAGGAUGUGGGGAAUAUGGACAGAGUGGU
rnacentral:snoRNA from 1 species